GUCCUAGUGGUGUAAUGGUUAAGUGUUUGGCUGCUAACCAAAAGAUUGGUGGUUCGAAUCCACCCCGUGACC
rnacentral:tRNA from 1 species